rnacentral:rRNA from 1 species
CCUACGGGCGGCAGCAGUGAGGAAUAUUGGUCAAUGGACGAGAGUCUGAACCAGCCAAGUAGCGUGAAGGAUGACUGCCCUAUGGGUUGUAAACUUCUUUUAUAUGGGAAUAAAACGUUCCACGUGUGGGAUUUUGUAUGUACCAUAUGAAUAAGGAUCGGCUAACUCCGUGCCAGCAGCCGCGGUAAUACGGAGGAUCCGAGCGUUAUCCGGAUUUAUUGGGUUUAAAGGGAGCGUAGGUGGAUUGUUAAGUCAGUUGUGAAAGUUUGCGGCUCAACCGUAAAAUUGCAGUUGAAACUGGCAGUCUUGAGUACAGUAGAGGUAGGCGGAAUUCGUGGUGUAGCGGUGAAAUGCUUAGAUAUCACGAAGAACUCCGAUUGCGAAGGCAGUUCACUGGACUGCAACUGACGCUGAGGCUCGAAAGUGUGGGUAUCAAACAGGAUUAGAUACCCUUGUAGUC